rnacentral:rRNA from 1 species
GAUGAACGCUGGCGGCGUGCCUAAUACAUGCAAGUCGAGCGAACGGACGAGAAGCUUGCUUCUCUGAUGUUAGCGGCGGACGGGUGAGUAACACGUGGAUAACCUACCUAUAAGACUGGGAUAACUUCGGGAAACCGGAGCUAAUACCGGAUGAUAUUUUGAACCUCAUGGUUCAAAAGUGAAAGACGGUCUUGCUGUCACUUAUAGAUGGAUCCGCGCUGCAUUAGCUAGUUGGUAAGGUAACGGCUUACCAAGGCAACGAUGCAUAGCCGACCUGAGAGGGUGAUCGGCCACACUGGAAAUGAGACACGUUCCAGACUCCUACGGGAGGCAGCAGUAGGGAAUCUUCCGCAAUGGGCGAAAGCCUGACGGAGCAACGCCGCGUGAGUGAUGAAGGUCUUCGGAUCGUAAAACUCUGUUAUUAGGGAAGAACAUAUGUGUAAGUAACUGUGCACAUCUUGACGGUACCUAAUCAGAAAGCCACGGCUAACUACGUG